ensembl:lncRNA
UGUUGCUGUACAUUACAGACACUCAUUGUUCCCUAUCUGUCGCAUUGUCUCCCUUAAUUCCCACAGGCAGAGCCUGCACGUAGCACGUACAUGCUUCCGGGCGGUGUUUAGUCUCUCUGUCUCUCCAGAAAGCUGCAUGUUUGCUGCCUGUCUGUCUUCAUACUCAUCCCCAAAUGCAGAGUAAUUGGAUCAACUUUUUGGACACAGUCUGUCAAUCUGCAAGACACAAAACUCACUGUCUGUGGGGAAGAGGUGGAGUGAAAUCCUAUUGUGCUUUUUCCAGCUAAUCUGAUCCUGAUCUUUUUCUGCAGAAGAAAGGCCUCAAGAAACAGAUGUGUGCUGUGCAGGGAGGCAGCUAACACCACUGCGGUGGAGCGGCAAAGCAGCUGAAUUCACAGGCAGCUGAAGCCUGCUGAGUUUCCUACACAGUUCCCAGACCUCAUUAACAUCUCUCUUGGACUUGGUGCUGACAUGUCUCUGCUGCUGCAGAAGGUACUCGUGCUGUGCUGACCACUUGAUGAGCACUGGGGAGCUGCAGUGAGGCAGGUAAUGCAGAACCUGCUUUUGGAAUCUCCAUGAGCAAGGCCUGGGGCUUGCUGAAGGCCUCUAGCCCUGGUCACCGCUCUGUUAUGCCCUGUGGAACAGACGAUGGACAGGGGAAGGUCUUAGGGUGAGAGGAAAUUUCCCCAUCCACAUGUCUAGGCAUCAAGAGUUCCUGUCGGCCAGCUAAUUAGCAACUGCCUUCCUAGAUUAUGAAUCCAUGUUAGCCUUUGCUCCUCUCUCACAUUACAGUAGCCUCCCACCUUGACAGUAAUGAAACAAAGCCAUCAAAGGAGAUCAAAGCAGAGUAGUUUUGAAACUGCUGUAUAUUUAAUGGGAAACUUCUCCCAUUUCUACCUUGUAGGGUGUGAAA